UGACAUGUGACUUUAUCUGGCAACAGAGUGAGUUGUUGCUCCCGCCUGAGCCCAGCCCCCAGAAAGGAUUGUGACAUAUCGUUGGACCCAGAAUUGAGGUAAUGUAACUAUUCCACUGCCUUGGCACUGCCCACAGAAGACAUUGUGACAUAUUGCUGGGUCUUGUACCCAGGUGGUGUGAAUCUUCUCUCCUGCCUUGGCUCUUCCACAGGGGGCAUUGUGUCAUAUCGCUGGGCCCCACACAUAGGUUAUGUGACUCUUCUGCCUGUGCCCUGCCCAUGUGGCCCAUUGUGACAUACUGUUGGGUCCCAAACCUAGGUGAUGUAACUCUACUGCUUAGGCCCUGCCUACAGAGGACAUUGUGACAUAUCCCUGCAUCCAUCACACAGGUGCAGUUUUGACACACUUCUGUCUAGCAGCUGAG
rnacentral:lncRNA from 10 species